rnacentral:lncRNA from 1 species
GCACCAUAGUCUAGAUUCAAAUAAUUAUUAAUUUCAGUUUGGUUCUGAAAGUUUCCAUUGGGAGUUAUUUGGGCUUUAAUAGAAUAUUUGAAUAAAUGCUGUUUAUUCUUUAAAAUAAGGAAAAUAUGUUUCUCAUGCCUAUCUGCACUUGUAUAGAUAAAAAUAAAAAAAAUACCAUGUAAAAACAAAUAUGGAUUGUAUUAGUUAUAUUCAUAUGCCCAAGUUUCUAGCAUUGGCCAGAUUGUCAUGUGAUGGAAUCAAAUCUGAUGGUGAUUUACCAUUUGGAAGAUCCAUAUUCAAUUCCAAGUUCUGCAUCUCUAAUUUUUCAGGAGGGAUACAAACUUGACCUGUUGAGCUUUCUACUUUUUUCAAUUGACCCCACCAUGGAUGUUGAGCCUGUAGUGGAUUCUGAAAGUGGCUAUCAUAAAAAUAUCCAAUGUAAUUUAGCAACUUAAUUCAAACUAACCAAAUUUCUAGCAAAAAUAAAUAAUUAUUUUUUAAUGCCUUUUCUCAGUUAUUGGCUGAUUACUAUGUAAUAUCCAUGUUACUCCAUUCCAGGACUAACUAUAAACUGCUUACAUCUAUAAUAGGGAACUUUACAGAAGGUGGAUCAAUGCCUGGGCCAGAUCUAUCAAAUAAUUUUUUUGAGGAUCUGAAUUCUUUCCCAGGCUGGUGCUGGAAUGAAAUUCAGAUAAGUGAAUUAAUUUAUAUGUAAUUUCGUUACAGACAUUUCAGAGAAUAUUUUUAAAUUGAAACAAAAUCAUUAACUUUUACAAUAAUAAAAAAAAAGCAUGAAGAUUAAUGGGCAAAAUGAUUCUUUUUAAGGAGGCAAUUCAUUUGAUCCAAUCUUUUGAUUCAGUUCAAUUUUUGAAUGGGAAAAUACAGGGCCAGAUUAUUCACUAGGCAUUAUAGACAUGUACCUAGGGGGUCCAUAGCAAUAUAGAUCCCAAAAACUGAUUAAAAAUUAUUGAACAAUUUUAUGAUUUUUUUAAAAAAUUAUUGUUUCUACAGGUCU